rnacentral:rRNA from 1 species
GGUUUUUUGAUUUUAAUUUAAAAUUUGAUNUGCUCAAUGAGAUAUUUAAAUAGCUGCGGUAUUUUGACCGUGCAAAGGUAGCAUAAUCAAUAGUUUUUUAAAUGAAAGCUGGAAUGAAUGAUUUGAUGAAAUAUAAGCUGUCUCAAAAUUAUUAAAAUAUAUAAUUUUUUUUUUAGUUAAAAAACUAAAAUGAUGUUAAAAGACGAGAAGACCCUAUAGAUUUUUAUUAUAUAAAUUUGAAUUUGAAUUUAAAUUACUGAAUUUAUAAAUUAUAUAAUUUAAUUGGGGUGAUUUUUAAAUUAAUUAAACUUUAAUUAAAAUUUACAAUAAUUAUUGAAUUAUAGAUCUUAAAGUUUAGAUUAUAAGAUUAAAAUACCUUAGGGAUAACAGCGUAAUUUUUUUAGAUAGAUCAUAUUGAUAAAAAAGAUUGC